CAUAGCAGCCAAGUGCUCCUGAUCGCAUUUGGUGUUGGAAGCUAAGCAGGAUGGGGGCUAGUGAGCAUGUGGAUGGGAAAAAAGGCACUAAGUUGCUGCUAAGA
rnacentral:rRNA from 1 species